GGAUGAACGCUGGCGGCGUGCCUAAUACAUGCAAGUCGAGCGAACGGCCGAGAAGCUUGCUUCUCUGAUGUUAGCGGCGGACGGGUGAGUAACACGUGGAUAACCUACCUAUAAGACUGGGAUAACUUCGGGAAACCGGAGCUAAUACCGGAUAAUAUUUUGAACCGCAUGGUUCAAAAGUGAAAGACGGUCUUGCUGUCACUUAUAGAUGGAUCCGCGCUGCAUUAGCUAGUUGGUAAGGUAACGGCUUACCAAGGCAACGAUGCAUAGCCGACCUGAGAGGGUGAUCGGCCACACUGGAACUGAGACACGGUCCAGACUCCUACGGGAGGCAGCAGUAGGGAAUCUUCCGCAAUGGGCGAAAGCCUGACGGAGCAACGCCGCGUGAGUGAUGAAGGUCUUCGGAUCGUAAAACUCUGUUAUUAGGGAAGAACAUAUGCGUAAGUAACUGUGCACAUCUUGACGGUACCUAAUCAGAAAGCCACGGCUAACUACGUG
rnacentral:rRNA from 1 species